rnacentral:lncRNA from 1 species
GAAAAAAGUUGAAAUAGCUAGACACUAACUUUAUAUUGGACCCUAGUAGCUUUAUAUGUGCUUGUGGUUGCAAAUGUAAAUGCAUGGAUGCCUGCUACACUGUAGAAUACAUAACAAGGAAGCUUUGCUUUGCUCUUCAUGGAGUACGAACUCGUCUUCAUAAUUAAAAACCUUCCGCCAAGCAAGCGUAAGGGUCUUUGACAGUAACCAACACUUAUCUCACGAGGCGUACCUAGUAUGUCUUUUUAGGUAUAUAUAUAUAUAUAUAAACAUUUAUUCGUCAUUGUGCGAAGUGCUCCUUUGAAGGAGGGAUUUUCUAAACCAGAACAGAACAGAAUAGCCAUGCAAGAC